CUCAAUCGACGAGGACAGUCACGACUCUCACGCACUCAUAGUCAAUCGCCAAGGCUAAAGCUUCAUCUCCCAGAUAUAAAUCUCAUCUGAGAUAAUCUGAUUUUGAUAACUAUCCCAUCUUUUGAGUAGGAGAAAGAGAGAGAAGCAGUUUUGGUAUACAAGGUUGCAUAGUGGAUUCACUGAACAGGAGGUAUUAAGCACUGUGGCAUGGGAGCAGUAGAGAGCGAGAACAUAUAGCAUUCAAGUUUUAAAAUCUUAAGGAGGUAUUAAGCACUGUGGCAUGGGAACAGUAGAGAGGUUUGAGUAUGUGUUGUUUGAUUUGUGUCUACGUGUGUGUUCUUAUCUUAGAUGAAAGAAACCUUCUUUUGUGACUGAUUUCUAUUUAUGCUUCUUUGAUUGAUGUUUUGUCUACAGGACUACUAUUUCUAUUUUCUAAGAUAAAGUUUGUUUUUUCUGUU